CUCAUUCCCCUUGCUACAGUUCAGAAGGGCGGCGGAGAGGCGAUUUCGCUCCCGGCGUCGAUCUCGCCAGCUUCUCCUUGCGUCCAGUGAUCAUUCCGGUGCCGGAGGUGGAGAGGAGCCGCAGGAUCGAUGGCCAGGUGGAGGCGGCGCUGCGCCCUUGGAAUAAGCUUCUCCGGCCCUUCCUCCACCUCGUCGGUGUGCGUUAUGGCAGCGGCGAAGGGCUGGUGUGUUGCAUCCUUGCCGGAUCUGGGGAUUCGCUAGAAGCUCUAGAUCUUCUCGGUGAGUUGUUUUGUCCCUUCCUUGUCUUCUUCGGAGACGGCACUGCGGUCGAUGCCAACUGCGGCGAGGCUCCAUGGAGGUUUCCUUACCGCUUUCCUGAGGAAUCGGAUGGGUGGUUUCAUUGCAACUGCUUGGGCGGUCUUAUUACCUUUUGGUUGCUUUGUCGUCCGGUGUUUUCGAGUUGCCGGCGGUGCUUGUGGCGACAAAUCCCAAGUUCCUCGGCGACGAGAUGGCCGGCUGUCAUCUUUUACUGCUAGGGCGUUCAUCGGAUUUACGGCACGUCGAUGAACUCGAUGUACUACUCAGUGUGACAAUCAAAAAGUUUGUUCCUUCGUCGGGAAGGGCUUUGGCUUCUAGCUGCAACCUUGACGUAUUUCUCCUCCUACCUCUGGUGCGGUGGAGGCUUGUUGAGGGGCUGCUCCUUGCGCCGACGACGAAAACGACCGGGAGACCCUUGUGUGGACCAAAAUGUAAUUUUCCUUUUCUCCGAGGGUGCCUUUGUAAGAGUUGCAAUGUAAACCUUAAGACAUACAUGUGAAAUGCAAUCCCGGUUUCUAAAAAAAAAAA